rnacentral:rRNA from 1 species
CCUACGGGAGGCUGCAGUGGGGAAUAUUGCACAAUGGGCGCAAGCCUGAUGCAGCCAUGCUGCGUGUGUGAAGAAGGCCUUCGGGUUGUAAAGCACUUUCAGCGGGGAGGAAGGCGGUGAGGUUAAUAACCUCAUCGAUUGACGUUACCCGCAGAAGAAGCACCGGCUAACUCCGUGCCAGCAGCCGCGGUAAUACGGAGGGUGCAAGCGUUAAUCGGAAUUACUGGGCGUAAAGCGCACGCAGGCGGUCUGUCAAGUCGGAUGUGAAAUCCCCGGGCUCAACCUGGGAACUGCAUUCGAAACUGGCAGGCUAGAGUCUUGUAGAGGGGGGUAGAAUUCCAGGUGUAGCGGUGAAAUGCGUAGAGAUCUGGAGGAAUACCGGUGGCGAAGGCGGCCCCCUGGACAAAGACUGACGCUCAGGUGCGAAAGCGUGGGGAGCAAACAGGAUUAGAUACCCCGGUAGUC